CUAUGUGGAGUAAAAGGCCUGGCAGGAAAUAUGAACAGCAGAACUAUUCAAACCUGGAGGUCAUUUCAUUCCGAUGAUGUGAGGACAUCCUGCUGGGCCGAAAAGAGCCCCCCCGUUGCUCAGGAAGCUGUGUGGUCCUGGUCAUGCAUGCGGAACUGCAGAACUCCAUGGCAGGUCAGAAGCCCUGGGAGCAGGCAGCUCCAGGCCCGCUUUCAAGGGACUGUGCUUAACAUUCAUUAUGUUACAACAACCUUGUGACAUCAUUCGCCUCAUCUUCCGGGAGACAAAGCAAAUUCAUGGGAUGCCGAGGGUAAGUGGAUAAAUUCUGCUCCGGAGAGAAGCUCAAGCAUUUGUUGUGUGUUAGUCACACCGCAGUGUGGUCUCAGAAAGGGCUCAGUGACGUGGAACGGAGCUAUGGGUGAGGACUUGCAGGAAGGCCUCUGUCCUUACACUGGUGUCCACCAGCCCUGCUCCUCCUCCACCACAAAAACCCUGGAAAAUUCAGGAAUCCGUUCUCCUCCUGUCCUUCACUAAUGCUGUGACUGAGCCCACCGCAGCCUGGCCUGGGGCCCCAGUGUGAGGAAGGAAGUUUGUCAUCUCCACCCUCCUCCUCUCCACCCCAGUAUCACCCACCCUUUUUCUGUUCCAGCAAAACUAACUUGUCCUCAUCCUAUCCUCAGGGCCCUGCUUUGGUCUUCUUCUCCCCUCAGGGACAUACAAGUACUUAAUAACCAGGUUGCCUGUGAUCCCCUUCUGCAGGCAGGGCCUCCUGGAGGGGUGUUAGCUGCUGAGUGGGAACAAGAAGAGAGGGGCAUAGGCACAGCUAUGGCUUCUGGGACACAGGAGCAGUGCCACUUCUCCUCUUCAGAGACACUGAAAAAGAGAACUGAGAGUUCUUGGGGCACAUCACUACGUGGGACACACCACAAACCUCUCAAAGGCCCGUUGAGUGAAAAGAAGUAAAGCAACCCACAAGGCUAUUUUUACCUGUUAUUCUAUUGACUGAAGAAGACAUUGGGGUUUUUUGCCUCUAUUACUCAAAUAACCACCCCAGUGGUGUCUUCCUUUCACAAGUGAGAAAGUCCCUUGUUGGUGGAAAGUUUUGGCUUGAGAUCUUAUACUUGGGCUUCCUCUCAAUUCCCAAAGCACAGAGGGGCUGCAGGGUGUGGUUACAGUGUGACAAGGAUGGUGAGGCUCAUUCACUCCUCCCUGGCUUCCCCCCAGCAAAGGCCUUUUAAGACCCUUUUGUCAGCCACAUCCAGUCUGGUUUGGACACCUUCCCCAGUGAGCCCUGCCACCCUGAAACUAAGCACACUGUCAUGAGGGGUUGUGUUAGACUAUGGUUCAGUAUGUUCUAUAGGCCCAGGCACCUGGAUGCUCAGGGACAGCAUGACUCUAUGGCCUAGUUGCUGGGACAGUCUCCAAUGACACCUCUUGUCCUGGAGUAAUAACUCCACAGUCUUGAUUUGGACAAUAACUAUGGUCACCCUACUUGGUAAGGAAGAUUUGAGGGACAGCACCAUUUCCUUGGCCUCUGAAUUCUGGUCAGUCUAAGGCAUCUCCACCCCUGUUGGAGAGAGGUAAGCAUGCUUCCUGAAGCUCUGGAAAGUCAGGGUAAAAUAAGUUAGCGUGAACAGAUGCACUGGUGAGAGAACAAGCCACCCUGUCCAUGUGCAGAGAUGUAAAAGGCUCAUGCUGCACACCCAUGUCUGUUCAAAUCCAGCCCUGCUCUUUAAAUGCCACCAGCAUCCCGAAGCCUUCCCGGAUGGCUUCGACCAGAGCUAUCCUCUCGUUUUGAACCCUCAAAUCGACCCUGAGCAUCUUUUCACCUCCUUUAGCAUGUACCGUCUGAAAUGUUGGAGAGGCAGCACAGAGCAACACUCAGGAGUAUAUUAGCCUCAGCUCAAGUCCCAGCUCUAACAGAGUAGCUCUGUGACCUUGGGCAAAUCACUUCACUGCCAUAAGCCUCAGUUUCCCCAUCUUACCUUCCUUUCUAGAUUUUAACCAUUAUUCCUUUAAAAAGCAAAAUUCAAGGUGAUUUGUUGAGUCAUGGCUACAUGCCAGGUGCUUUCACAACCACUGUCUCACCAAUCCUGGAGCCAACUCUGAGAGCUAGGGUCACUGGAACCCUUUUAUAGGUGGAGAAUUAGAGGUUCAGAGAGGUUAAUUAAUUAGCCCAGGGCACACAGCUUAGUAAUUAAAAGAUCAGAGAUGAUUUAGAACACAGGUCCUUCCCCCAGAUUGUCACACAACCUCCCUACCUCCCUCUAUAAAAAUCUCACGAUGACAAAUAAGCCUUUGUUCUGACAUACACUGCAGUUUAGCUAUAGGGGUUUGUAACACAUGACAUUUAAAAUCAGUUGUGCUCUUCAAGAAAAAUCAAAUAGAUUCCAGGCAUCAAUUUAAGGGAAGGACAAUCAUUUACACGGGCCAAGAAGCAUUAAGAGCUUCAGCCAAAAUCAAUAUGUUACUAUUCCCUAUACUCGGCCCUGAAUAUGUGCCAGAGUCUGCUCAUGGCCUUGACUUCUGGAUUGAGGAAAAGAUGUUCAAACAACGUUUUCCAUUUGCAGACAGAGCAAGUGAAUGUUGUUUCCAGGUAUAAGAUUUAUUUCUGAAAAGAGGAAAUAUCACCAGCCUCUCUUGGUGUAUCACUUCCCCUCUUGUGCCCUCAACAUUUCCUCUGUACAGUGGGACGGUAUGGGGUCAUCUCUAGGACCCCAACAGCUCUUACUUUGCAGGGGACCCUGAGUCACAUAUCUUAGAUGCUUCAGGUUACAUCUGCUUUCUAGAAGGUUUGCCUAAGCAAGUAGUAUACUGGGUUGAAUGGUCGCCCACAAAAAGAUAUAUCCUCAUCCUUAUCCCCAGAACCUGUGAAUGUGAACUUAUUUUUUAAAAAACAAAACAGAACAAAAAAAGAGUCUUUACAGAUGAGAUUAAUUUAAGGAUCUUGAGAUGAGAUCAUUCUGGAUUACCGGAGUGGGUCCUAAAUCUAAUAACACAAAUGUCUUUUAGAAGACACACAGAGGAGAGACAUAGGCACAUAGUGGAGAAGCCUAUGUGAAGACAGAGGCAGAGACUGGACUGAAAUGUGGCCACAAGGCAAGGAAGGCCAACAACCACCAGAAACUGGAAGAGACCAAGAAAAGAUUCUUUCCUGUUGCCCCCAAAAGGAGCCCAGCCACAGAACCCCUAGAAUUUUCACUCCUGGCAUCCAGAACUAUGAGAGAAUAAAUUCCUGUUGUUUUAAGCCACCCAUUUU